rnacentral:rRNA from 1 species
UACGUAGGGGGCGAGCGUUGUCCGGAGUUACUGGGCGUAAAGCGCGCGCAGGCGGUCCUUUAAGUCAGGGGUGAAAGCCCAGAGCUCAACUCUGGAACUGCCUUUGAAACUAGAGGACUUGGGUACGGGAGAGGUGAGUGGAAUUCCGAGUGUAGAGGUGAAAUUCGUAGAUAUUCGGAAGAACACCAGUGGCGAAGGCGGCUCACUGGCCCGUUACCGACGCUCAGGCGCGACAGCGUGGGGAGCAAACAGG